rnacentral:lncRNA from 7 species
UCUUGGCCUUAUUUCAUAGGACAAACCUAGAGGUUUCAUCCCAAAAGAACAAACUUCUAGCAAAAGGCAUGGAUUAAGGAAAAAAGCUCAGGUUGGCCAGAAAUGGUGGGUGGGGAAGAGGACAUAACAGAACGAAAGCCAAGAAGAAAAUUGCAGCAAAGGGAUGGAGGAGUGCUGCUUAACCGUCUGUCUCCUGAAGUCUUCAGAUGUUGGCUAAGAUUUCCUCUGCUGGAUGUGUAUGUCAGACUUCUACAAAAUCAACCCCCGCUCAACUACUCUGAGCUGGUAGGCAUCCUAAGUAAUGCUGUUGAAUAAACUGAAGUAAUUUGGGAUACAAUUUGGCAUAAGAGAUCACAAUUACUCUCCUGAGAUUAUUCCAGCAUUACAUCCACUUAUGAAACUACAAAAGAAAUCUGUCCACUGUUCCCAGGGCAGAGUGAAGAAAAUGGGCACCAAUUUAGACUGUCUCUGCCAGGAAACAUAUAAUAAUGCUGUCGUUUCUAAGAAAACUCUGCAGCAGCAGGCUCAGACAGCUACGAAGUAGAGCACAUGCAUGGAUUUGUCAUCCUGCCUUACUCUUAAACAACAUUAGCUUCUUUGUCAAUUGUGAGAAAGUGAGGGAAAACCCCUUGGAGGUGUGCCACACAUUUAUUUGUUCCUGAGCUCUUAUAGCAAUGUUGGCUACAACACAAUCCUUUUUUUAGAAAAGAAAGGUGAUCAUCUGUGCAACUUGUUCUGAAAAGUCAACAGACGUGGCAAGAAAAUGCAUUUCUCAAACACAUGUUGACUUGUGACAUCCAAGGACAGGAUGCUUGUGACCGCACAUAUCCGAUGUUCAUGGCAGAUCAUGAGUGCUGCUGCCUGUCCCUUUCAGCUCUGCUUCUGGUAUGAAUAAGUCAUCCAGCAUGGGAGCAUGCAUGGGCUGGAGGUGCUCUGCUACUCCAACAUGGAAUGUUGCAAGCUCCAGCAAUUAGGUCAGCAGAAACAUCCUUUUGUUCUUCUAAAUCAAUGUUAGCAAUGUUUCAAAUUGCCUUCAGAUAAUCCCAUGCUGCCCCAUCACAGCUGCCUUGCUGUUUGCGUUGAUGUUGUUGCUACUCAUGGAGUGUGAGAAUGAGGACAAGGAAUAGUGCUGCCGUAAGCUGUGAUGGCAAAACACAUUUCCCUUUAGAAACAAAUGUCGCAAGUGGUGGAUGAAAUCUAGCAGAGUGACGCACUUCCACAUACAUUAGCACAUACUUUGCCAAAAUAGAACCACUCUGUUUUUUAAGGAGAAUCUCUGCAAGGAUAGGGGGAGAAAUACUCCUCCCUCCUUCCUUUGCGGUGUGUUAAGAAGGCCCCAGAUUUCCCCACUCUCCCAUGUGUUUCUAGAAAUUCAUCUUCUAUGAAAGCUGCAGGAAGCGCUGACUGUCUACUUCCAGUGUGCCUGCCCAAAGGGAGACCUCUCUGCUGGAUCCCAACAAGAGGAGAUGACAAACAAGACAAGCGCAUUUCGUAGCACCCAUGACUCAGAUGGAGCAGAUCAGCUCUUCAGCUAUUGCUUCAUUAACCAAGGCUUGUUUGCUACAGACAUCAC